rnacentral:rRNA from 1 species
CGGCACGGGUGAGUAACACGUAUCCAACCUGCCGUCUACUCUUGGACAGCCUUCUGAAAGGAAGAUUAAUACAAGAUGGCAUCAUGAGUCCGCAUGUUCACAUGAUUAAAGGUAUUCCGGUAGACGAUGGGGAUGCGUUCCAUUAGAUAGUAGGCGGGGUAACGGCCCACCUAGUCUUCGAUGGAUAGGGGUUCUGAGAGGGAGGUCCCCCACAUUGGAACUGAGACACGGUCCAA